rnacentral:rRNA from 1 species
AUUGAACGCUGGCGGCAGGCCUAACACAUGCAAGUCGAGCGCGAGGCGGACGGGUGAGUGUUGUAUGUGGACCUGUCCGUUAGAGGGGGAUAACUACUGGAGACGGUGGCUCAUACCGCAUACUGUCGGAUGUGCCCCUAUGGGAUUAGCUAGUAGGUAAGGUAAUGACUUACCUAGGCGACGAUCCCUCGCUGGUAUGAGAGGAUGAUCAGCCACACUGGAACUGAGACACGGCCCAGACUCCUACGGGAGGCAGCAGUGGGGAAUAUUGCACAAUGGGCGCAAGCCUGAUACAGCCAUGCCGCGUGUAUGAAGAAGGCCCUAGGGUUGUAAAGUACUUUCAGGCGGGAGGCGUUACCGACAGAAGAAGCACCGGCUAACUCCGUGCCAGCAGCCGCGGUAAUAC